ACAUUUAAAUAUAAACAACGAUGUAUUCGGUAACUACAAAUGUAUUAACAAGUUUUAUUGUUAAAAUAAUAAAAAUGAAUGAAGAUCUUAUACAACGAAUCAAAAACACUUUAAUAUCAGUAAGUGAAUUUUAUGAGUGAAAUUUGAUUGAGAUUCUAUAAAAUGAUUUAUUUCAAAAAAUAACACUUGUAUAAUAAAAUAACAAAAUUUGUAAAAACGCAAUUGUAAUUAAAUGAUUUACGUGAGAUAAAUAAUGACAAUAGAUAUUUACCAAGAGAUCUUAAUUAACAAAUGUGUACAGUAUUACACGGAACUUAUAUCCUCCAGAUGGAAAAAAUGUAUUACAUAUCAACUUCAAAAUAUAAGGAAUUGGAAAUACUAUUCCAAAUAUUAAAGUAAGAAAAUAUAAAACUUCAAUUAUAAGUGCUAAAAACAAGAUGGAUACUUCUAUUAUAUUUAACAAAUGGACUACCUGGAUAUAAAGUAAUGAUUACUGGACUUAUGAUAUACAGAGGAGGUAUUAUUUUAUUAAAAGAAAGUAAAUUUAGAGAAAUUGACGGAGAAAUAAAAAAUUUAUCCAUCAUCAAUGCAUUAGAAAAUGUUCUAACUUGAAUUUUAAACUGUUCAGAAAAUACAGACUUCUAUACAAUAAAGGUUAGAAGAUAAUGAAAGACCACUUGCUACAAAUGAUUUCUUUGAAGAUGAUUUUGAAAUCAAUUUGGAAGAAGUUAUACAAAUCGAGCAAUGAAGUCAAGAGAUAGAUGACAUAUGCUAUAAAUAUACUAAAUAGAUUAGAAUAAAUAGACUAACUAGAAUAACUUGUCUAUUACAAAAAAUAUUAAAUAAGAAAAUUUUAUUUAUCCAAAAGAUCCAUCAAAACAGAAUGACAAACAUGAAAAGAAUAAUAUUACUGAAACUUUCGAUAUAGGUAAUAAGUUGUUAGAAAUAAUAAAUGAAAAUCAAUUUAUCGCGUUUAUCUCAUGUACAAUUAUCAAUAACAAAAAAAAAAAGAAUUUCGAGUAUUAUUUAAAGAAGAUAAUGAUCAGAAUAUGAGAGAUGAUAUAAUAGUAGUGAAAGUUCUGUUAGCAGUUGAAAUGAGAAUAUUAAAAUACAAAGUGACAUGUUUUUUCAAUGGAUGAUUUUAAAUUUGAUGAUAUUGAUGUUCCAGAAGCUUUAGAAAAGAAGAUUCAGUAAAAAAUAAUAAAAAAUUUUAUAUGAAAUGAAAUUUUCAACUAAGUAAAUCAUUCUUGCGAAACAUUAAUUCCAUAACAGGCAAAAAUUCCUUCGAAAUAUUAAACUUAAAACAUAUAGCAUUAAUACAAAUGAAACAUCAUCUAAUGCACAAGUUGAUAGUUAAAAAAAAAUUGGAGAUAAAAGAUCUAUAGUACGAUUUAAUAUUUUCAGCAAAUAUUAAUAUAUAAUAACAUAGACAGAAUUAUCUAUAAAAUAUAAUAUCUGUAUUUUAGGCAUUAAUGUAAUCAUCAUUUAUUAAUUGAUCAAAAAUAUGUUGUAUUUCAAAGAAAGUUUGAUCAAAGAAACAUAAAAUCAAGAAAAUAAUGUAAAAAGAUUUUCUGACUUUAUAGAAGCAAAAAAGUUACAAGAACAAAUAGCAGUGAAAAUUUUAACUUUAUUUGUUAUGUAAUUGAGAAAAUGGUAAAAGAAAUAAUUUUAAACGUUUUAAUAGUACAAGAACAAUUUACUACAUUUGAAAAAUUAUUUAGAAAAAAUUCUUAUUAGCAAUUAAAAGUAACAAUCUCUGAUAAAACAGCAGUAUUAUAUAUUUUAGAAGAAAGUUUAAAUAUAUUUAUUAAUAUGUUUCUAUACUUUUUUUAGAUUAUAGAAAGAUUUUUUGGAUUUAGCGUUAAGGAAUUUUCCCAAAAAAAGGAAACAUGCAGAAACUAAUGGUGAUAUAGAACAUAAAUUAAGAAUGGUAAUAUUGUAAGAUACGUUAAUCAUAAUAUUUUAUCACUCAUACAUAAUUGUAUUAUUUAUUACACAUAUGCUGUUAUGUAUUUUAUCUAUGUACAUUUUAGUGAUAUUUUAGAUUUGCCAUAAUGCAGAAAAAUUUGAACAAUUGGAUGUUUUAUUAGAAUUGAAAUUGAAACUAAAUCACAAAGUAAAAGUUGUAAACAUUACGCCGUUAAGUGAUUAAUAUAAAGGAAAUAAUUGAUAAAUUGAUGAAGACACUAAAGAUUUAUAAAAUUCUACUUCAUAUAAUUUUACAUAAAGAUUCGUUUGUAUUAUCAUUAUUAUAUCAUGUUAUUUGUAUUACUAUUACUAUGAUCUUUACAUUUUUUCUUAUUGCAAAUCAAUCACAACUAAGUUGAUUUAACAAAUGAUAAUAUUCUAAUUAUAUUACAAUCAAUAAUUUUAUAUUUAAAAUUUUAAUAAUUUGUUUUUUUUUAAUGAAUAAAUAAAUUAUUCAGAAUAAUAUUUAUUAUUGUUUUAAAUUUUGUCUAUGUAAAGAAGUCGAGAUGCUCCAAUUUGAAACUCAAAAGAAAAUAAGUUGAAGGGAGAAAAGUGAAUUCAUUCUGAAGUUUUUUUUUAAUCUUCUAUAAUGGUACUACACUUCCAUAUCACCAUACCUUGAUUAUGUAAAAGCGAUGGGUAAGAGUAAUUACAUCUUGCUUUUCAGUAUCGUAGAAUUUAAAUCUAACUUGAGUGACGAAAACGAAUAAUAAAAUUAUUUCUUUUUGUUUUCUUAUAUUUUAUAAAUCUAAAAAAUUAAAUUAAAAAUUAUACUUCCAA